UGUUGCUCUUUGAAAGUUCCGUGAUUAAGAUUCGAAACAUUGCUUGACCAACACGAAGUCAUAAACUGUCUCCUCGCUCUGUCUCUUCGUCUGCCAUCCCCGCUUUCGCCUGUUUGCAAUCAAUGGCUGGUGAAUCUGAUGAGCCCGAAAACAACCUCUUUUGUGUUAACUGUGCCAAACCCGCCAAUCUUCAGUGCCCAAAAUGCGUGAAAUUGAAGCUUCCUCGUGCAGGUUCUGCCUUCUGUCCCUAUAUCCUGGGUUCUUGUUCGAGACUAUUGUCUUCCUAGAAGAACCAUAUCUGGGUUCUUGUUCGAGACUAUUGUCUUCCUAGAAGAAUCAUAUCAAUUGGUAUUAGAAGGUGACCUUCCAACCACACCAUUCCAAUGGUUGCCAACACCCGUACUUUACGUGAAGAUUUUGACCAUUUCAAAGAUUCAAUGGAGUCUCGCUUCUUGGAGCUCGACACGUCGCUGGAGGCUCGUUUCAUGGAAAUUGGUGUAUCUUUG
rnacentral:sRNA from 1 species